AUUGAACGCUGGCGGCAUGCUUUACACAUGCAAGUCGAACGGUAACAGGUUAAGCUGACGAGUGGCGAACGGGUGAGUAAUGCAUCGGAACGUGCCCGGUCGUGGGGGAUAACGCAGCGAAAGCUGCGCUAAUACCGCAUACGAUCUGAGGAUGAAAGCGGGGGACCGUAAGGCCUCGCGCGAUCGGAGCGGCCGAUGUCAGACUAGGUAGUUGGUGGGGUAAAGGCUCACCAAGCCGACGAUCUGUAGCUGGUCUGAGAGGACGACCAGCCACACUGGGACUGAGACACGGCCCAGACUCCUACGGGAGGCAGCAGUGGGGAAUUUUGGACAAUGGGCGCAAGCCUGAUCCAGCAAUGCCGCGUGCAGGAAGAAGGCCUUCGGGUUGUAAACUGCUUUUGUACGGAGCGAAAAGGCUCUCUCUAAUACAGGGGGCUCAUGACGGUACCGUAAGAAUAAGCACCGGCUAACUACGUGCCAGCAGCCGCUGUAA
rnacentral:rRNA from 1 species